AUCGAUUCUCAGCCUUUUGGCUAAGAUCAAGUAUAGUAUCUGUUCUUAUCAGUUUAAUAUCUGAUGCAUUCUCUAUCUGAGGACAAUAUAUUAAAUGGAUUUUUGGAGCAGGGAGAUGGAAUAGGAGCUUGCUCCGUCCACUCCAUGCAUCGAUCUGAUAUUGCAGUACUUCCAGGAAUGGUGCACCCCCC
rnacentral:snRNA from 1 species